GUUUUUCCAUUUGCUUUUUAUAGAAAGAAUAUGCGGUGGAAUCCAACACGCUUAUACUGGAAAACGUGACCCGUCUCCAGAAUGGCUAUUAUGAAUGCAACUCAAUGGACAUGGAAACCUAUGAGGAGCUCUCAGGGAAUACAACUGUGUUUGUUCAUUACUUGGAGCCUGCCGUGGUGCUGCCCACCAACAUAGAGAUCGCUCAAGGCGAGGAGUUGACAGCCACCUGCAAUGCCCUAUCUUCUCUACAGAC